UACAGAGGUCCCGAGCGUUUGUUCGGAUUCACUGGGCGUAAAGGGUGCGUAGGUGGCUUGAAAAGUUUGAUGUGAAAGCUCAGGGCUUAACCCUGAAAUGGCAUUGAAUACUGUCGGGCUGGAGGUUUGGAGGGGGGACUGGAAUUCUUGGUGUAGCAGUGAAAUGCGUAGAUAUCAAGAGGAACACCAGUGGCGAAGGCGGCAUCCUGGACCGAAACUGACGCUGAGGAGCGAAAGCCAGGGAGCAAACGGG
rnacentral:rRNA from 1 species